CGUGUGUAGGCUACGUGCGUAGGCUCUAGGCACAACCAUAAAUCCCCUUUUACUGUCACUGUUCUAGCUCCAUACUCUUAUACUGUUUUCCCUCUGGAAAAAGCCAGCUGACUGCAGAGCACCAGGACCAGAGUCAGCACGUAACCCCUGUAAAACUAGGGCAGAUAAAAGAGUAGCAGAUUUAUUCUGUCAUCUAACUUUUGGCGCAAAGCAUAUGGCCUACAAGUAUUGUUGAAUGCUUCCCUUAAACUGAAGACUAAUUAGGAAACUAAUUCCUCCUCUUCCACCAGUGAGCAGACAUGUCUGUUCCACAGCUGCUGGAAGACCUGGGCGACGAUGACUUCGAAACACUCAAGUGGUACCUCUCCAUGGACAUCUUGGAGGGCUGCAAACCAAUUCCUAAGUCCCGUCUGGGUAAGGCACCCCGGACAGACACUGUGAGCAGGAUGAUAGAGAGCUACGGUGAAGAGUCGGCUGUGAAGGUCACUGUUGAGAUCCUGAGGAAGAUGGGAAACAUCAACGCUGCUGAGAAAUUAAAGAACAGAUACGCAGCACCUCUUGCAGCUCCUGCGGCACCUCCUGCAGCUCCGGUAUUGCCUCCUGCUGCUCCUGUGGCAUCUCCUGCAGCUCCUGCCACAAUGUCAGCUCAGCAUGGAAGUGUGAUAAUCGCUCCAACAGUCUCCGGUAGCACCGCUGGGACAUGGAAUAUAACCGUCAAUAAAUAAACCAAUGAAAAACAACCAGACUGGGAUCAGGAAACACACACUACAUCUUGAAAUAAGUGAGGGAGCACCAACUCUCUCACUAACUAUUUCCUGAGCCCUUUUUUGUUCGGAAAGGUGGAUAGACUCUCACACACAAUUUUCUUUGUUUUCUUCAUAGCUAGAUCAUGACAUUUGUUAUGAAUUAUUUGUUUGGACAUUAAAGUUGAUGAAACUGUGAGAUAUGAGGAUUGUUGUCUUUUCUGCAUCCUAAAAUCAAAAUAAUGCUCUAAUGAUGACUUUUUCUGGCAUUAUUGUUACACAUUUAUUUCUGAUAUCAUUUGACUUUUCCAGUGAAAUGAGCAAUAAUAAAUGCCUCCAGUCAACAUGUGUUGUGGGUUUGAUGACCAUGCACAAACAUCUACACUUUAGAGAGGACGCUGAAAACGUUUGUCUAUUUAUUAAUCUAGUGAGAAAUACUUUGUGGCUAUUUCUAGGUGACUUUCCAGAGAAUCAAACUGAUGUUGCGGUCACACUCUUCCACCACAUCCUCAGUCAUCGUUCCUGCUGCGCUGGCAUCUUCCUGCGCAACCCUGAAACCGAAACUAGAAUGUUAGCGCCAUUUUCUUUACAUUGUUUCUCGGGUGUACAUCUGUAGGCUGUCGGUGACACGUGAGCAGACAUGACUGUUCCACAGCUGCUCCUCGAGACUCUGCAAGACCUGCGCAACGACGACUUCGAAACACUCAAGUGGUACCUCUCCCAUGACAUGUUGGAGGGCUGCAAACGAAUUCCUGUGGCAUCUCUGGAGAACGCACCCCAGACAAACACUGUGAGCAGGAUGAUACAGAGCUACGGCGAAGAGUUGGCUGUGAAGGUCACUGCUGUGAUCCUGAGGAAGAUGGGAAACAACAAUGCUGCAGAUGAGUUAGAGAAAAGAUACGCAGCUAAACCUUCUACCUCCUCCUCUGCUGUAGCACCUCCUGCUGCUCCUGUGGCACCUCCUGCUGCUCCUGUAGCACCUCCUGCAGCUCCGGUGGCACCUCUUGCUGCUCCCGCCACAAUGUCAGCUCAGCAUGGAAGUGGGAUAAUCGCUCCGACAAUCACUGGUAGCACCAUUGGGACAUUGAAUAUAACAUAUAAAUAAUAAACUAAUGAAAAACAACCAGACUGGGAUCAGGGAACACACACUAGAUUUUAAAUUAUUAGUGUGAUUGACAUUUACCAUAGUUCACUAUGUACAAUUACAUGCUCCCAGUAAAAAGGAAACAUUUACACAUUAUACAACCUGUGGAAGUCUUCCAGCUCUCAUGUGCCAUUUCAAAGAACAUUUGCCAGCCAGUACAGUUAGAGGGCCCAGACACACCAAACCAACAUCAAAGAACCAGUGGCGAUGAGGACCGACUGCUGCGCCACUUCAUGUCGCCUGUGUCUUGCACCUGAACACACUGCAAAGACUACAGCCAACUAGCAUGUACAUUCUGCGCCUGCGUGAGAGGAAAUAACUCCACAACAGCGGGCGGCAGAAGUCAGUAAUCAUCACUGAAAAAGGAAAAUCUGAAAAACAGACAGGAUGGAUUCAAGACAAGCCAGUUACCAUAUUAACAACACAACCCUGUGAUGAAAGAACAAAUUAUAUUUAGUUUAAUGAUUACCAGCUGUUUCUCCCACAGAGCAUAAAGGCUAGAAAUAAUCUUAUCUUAUAUAACAAGUUUGUUUCAAGUUGGUCUUCUCGUGCACUGAGCUGAACUACCAGUCACACAGGUUUCAUUCACUGACGGGCUCUGCCACCGAUUCAACAUGCUGAAUCAGCUGAAAAACUUGCUACAUGGCCGACUAGUGCCAAAGGUGCGGGACACUGCAGUAACCACAGCGACAGAUUCUCACCGACGGCCCUACAUUCACCCAUGGGUGACCUUCGGUUUCGUGUGUCGGGGCCCUUAGUCUCUGUAUGUAGCACUUCAAAGCAGCACACACACAUUUGAUACAUGCUUGUUAAAACAUGAUCAUGUGUUUGUCGUAACUUCUCCUGUGAAGUUUAUUUAAUUACAACUGUGUGAUCGUACACCAGCCUCCACCUAUGGGUGGUGUAAUGAUGACCAUAUCUAUUACAAUGAUGUGACACCAGGUCUGGCAGAAUAGACAUUCCGCUUUUUGGUGCUGUUUUUAAACCAAGUACUCUCAAUACAUUUUAACUGAAUUUGUAUUUAAACUUAACUACAAAAUGGUUUUUAAAAAAAAUAAAUAAACAACAACAAAACAA